rnacentral:rRNA from 1 species
GAACGCGAAGAACCUUACCCGGGAUUGAAAUGUAGAUGACCGCUCCUGAAAGGGAGUUUUCCUUCGGGACAUCUAUGUAGGUGCUGCAUGGUUGUCGUCAGCUCGUGCCGUGAGGUGUCGGCUUAAGUGCCAUAACGAGCGCAACCCCUGUCUACGGUUGCCAUCAGGUAAUGCUGGGAACUCCGUAGAGACUGCCGUCGUAAGGCGUGAGGAAGGUGGGGAUGACGUCAAAUCAGCACGGCCCUUACAUCCGGGGCGACACACGUGUUACAAUGGUAAGGACAAAGGGCAGCUACCUGGCGACAGGAUGCGAAUCUCAAAACCUUAUCACAGUUCGGAUCGGAGUCUGCAACUCGACUCCGUGAAGCUGGAUUCGCUAGUAAUCGCGCAUCAGCCAUGGCGCGGUGAAUACGUUCCCGGGUCUUGUACACACC